GAUGAACGCUGGCGGCGUGCCUAAUACAUGCAAGUCGAACGAAACUUCUUUAUCACCGAGUGCUUGCACUCACCGAUAAAGAGUUGAGUGGCGAACGGGUGAGUAACACGUGGGCAACCUGCCCAAAAGAGGGGGAUAACACUUGGAAACAGGUGCUAAUACCGCAUAACCAUAGUUACCGCAUGGUAACUAUGUAAAAGGUGGCUAUACUACCGCUUUUGGAUGGGCCCGCGGCGCAUUAGCUAGUUGGUAGGGUAAAGGCUUACCAAGGCAAUGAUGCGUAGCCGAAUUGAGAGGUUGAUCGGCCACAUUGGGACUGAGACACAGCCCAAACUCCUACGGGAGGCAGCAGUAGGGAAUCUUCCACAAUGGGCGAAAGCCUGGUGGAGCAACGCCGCGUGGGUGAAGAAGGUCUUCGGAUCGUAAAACCCUGUUGUUAGAGAAGAAAGUGCGUGAGAGUAACUGUUCACGUUUCGACGGUAUCUAACCAGAAAGCCACGGCUAACUACGUG
rnacentral:rRNA from 1 species